GGGUAAACUGUCCCUUUAACUAUCCUGCACCCCUGUGAGUGUGGUUUCUUAUUACUGGCUUGUUUACUUAGGCUGAUUGAUAGAUGAGACUCCAGUAUAAAACUUUUACUAUAGGUGGGUAUACCACAGACUAAAUCAGCUAUUUCAAAUGCCAAAAUAGAGGAAAGGAGCUUGUACAGGGACAUUCUUUACACAUUUAUGUGCCACACGCAGUACACCUCUUACUCAGUCAGACAAAUACACAACAUUUUUUUUUAAACCAACGUCUCACUAGGUAUGAGACAUUGCUUCUUGUACCUUCUAAUAUCACUAUCAUCUACUGUACCUCUCUCAACCCAGCAACUUUGUUACCUCUACCUGAUGAUGGUACCCCACACUAUGACUGUUUAUCUGUAUCUCUCUUUUCCUCCAAACUAAGGGAUGGCCUCUCUGAUGUGCCUCUACCUAACCUGGAUUGGACACUGUUCUGUGAUGGAAGUUUGAGGAUGGUGAAUGUUUCUGCUGUAGUCAUGACAGAUUCUGUUAUAGAGGCCGAGCCCCUCCCAUCUCACUACAGUGCCCAAGCGGCUGAGCUACAUGCACUCACACUUGCUUGUCAGCUCUCAAAGGACAGGUGCAGAAUUCCUUCACCUCCCAAACAUGCCAUGAUACUGCAUGACAACCCACUAUUCGCCAUCAACUCUGCAAGAAUGAUGGGGAUUGUUAAUUGUUGUUAAUAAAUCUGGGAGGGGAUGUUUCUGCGCUAUGUCAUGCCACACACAUAUGUCAUGCCACACACACAUUUACAGCAUAGGAAUGUUUAGGUAGUUGUCUACUCCACCCGAUGGCGACUAGCGUCCGGUAAUAGCGGAAUUGCCUACUACCUAAUAACUUCACUCCUACUUUGUUUUUGCUUACCCUCUUGUAGUCCUGUGAACCAUCUUGGACGCGAGCACCCAUGUACUAAUAGCAUUGUGAUUGUAAUUGCCAAACCGCCAUGAGUCACAUUAAGUUUUUGUGAUCGCAGCACUUUGACGUUUGCAAUCAAAGGGGGGAAUGUUAUGAGCUGCUUAUUCUAUUUUCAUUAUUUUAUAUGUUUAACCAAACUUUUCCUUUUCUUUUACUGAACUCUUCUCUGAAAUUGCAGAUAUAUUACUUCUGUAUUUUCCAGCAAUUCACUCCUGACCUAAUAAGUGAUGUAUCUUUAACAACUUACUUUUAGCCUAAAAAGUAUAUAUCAGUACAUCUUAAAGUUAUGGCUUCUCCCAUACAUUGUUUUUUUUAAAUAUCUGAAACUCAAGGUAAAAUCCAAGGCUUCUCUGUACAGUAUCAACUUCUCAAUCCAAUUAGCCAGCUAGCCUCUGGUCACAUUCCAAGAAAACAUAUCUCCCAAAUUUUAACAUAGAGGACCUGUUUUUUUUCUUCCUUUCCUAGUAACCACUAAUCAUGUGAGAUUUAUUGGCCAAUCAUUAUCAGCCAAUUAGCUCUCUGCUUUGUAAGUUACUGUAAUAGUAUAAAAAUGCAUGUAUAUGAAAAUCUGUUAGUCUUGCGUUGCUGUUUUUUGUUCUGGGACACUGUUGCAACAGUGUAAUAAAGAUUACCUCUCCUGAGGUGAGCCCUUGUUUGAUAAA